AGCAGCCGCGGUAAUUCCAGCUCCAAUAGCGUAUAUUAAAGUUGUUGCAGUUAAAAGCUCGUAGUUGAAUUUCGGGACCAAUUUGUUGGUCGUGCCUCGGUACGUACUGGUAUUAUUGGUUUCUCCCUUCUGAAGAAUCUCGAUGCCAUUAAUUUGGUGUCGUGGGGAAUCAGGACUGUUACUUUGAAAAAUUAGAGUGUUUAAAGCAGGCAUACGCUUGAAUACAUUAGCAUGGAAUAAUGAAAUAGGACGUUUGAUUCUAUUUUGUUGGUUUCUAGGAUCGACGUAAUGAUUAAUAGGGAUAGUUGGGGGCAUUAGUAUUCAAUUGUCAGAGGUGAAAUUCUUGGAUUUAUUGAAGACUAACUACUGCGAAAGCAUUUGCCAAGGAUGUUUUCAUUAAUCAAGAACGAAAGUUAGGGAUCGAAGACGAUCAGAUACCGUCGUAGUCUU
rnacentral:rRNA from 1 species